rnacentral:rRNA from 1 species
CAAUAGCGUAUAUUAAAGUUGUUGCGGUAAAAAAGCUCGUAGUUGGAUUUCUGUUGAGAGCGACCGGUCCAUACCAUGUAUGCGUAUCUGGCUUGCUCUCGGCAUCCUCUCGAUAGACGUUACUGCGCUUGAUUGCGUGGUGCGGAUCUCGGGACUUUUACUUUGAGGAAAUUAGAGUGUUCACGGCAGGCUUUCGCCAGAAUACAUUAGCGUGGAAUAAUACUAUAGGAUCUUGGUUCUAUUUUGUUGGUUUCUAGAAUUGAGAUAAUGAUUAAUAGGGACAAUUGGGGGCAUUCGUAUCAACACGUCAGAGGUGGAAUUCUUGGAUUGUGUUGCGACGAACUACUGCGAAAGCAUUUGCCAAGGAUGUUUUCAUUGA